rnacentral:rRNA from 1 species
AGCGGCGGACGGGUGAGUAACACGUGGGUAACCUGCCCAAGAGACUGGGAUAACACCUGGAAACAGAUGCUAAUACCGGAUAACAACACUAGACGCAUGUCUAGAGUUUGAGAGAUGGUUCUGCUAUCACUCUUGGAUGGACCUGCGGUGCAUUAGCUAGUUGGUAAGGUAACGGCUUACCAAGGCAAUGAUGCAUAGCCGAGUUGAGAGACUGAUCGGCCACAUUGGGACUGAGACACGGCCCAAACUCCUACGGGAGGCAGCAGUAGGGAAUCUUCCACAUGGACGAAAGUCUGAUGGAGCAACGCCGCGUGAGUGGAGAAGGGUUUCGGCUCGUAAAGCUCUGUUGGUAGUGAAGAAAGAUAGAGGUAGUAACUGGCCUUUAUUUGACGGUAAUUACUUAGAAAGUCACGGCUAACUACGUGCCAGCAGCCGCGGUAAUACGUAGGUGGCAAGCGUUGUCCGGAUUUAUUGGGCGUAAAGCGAGUGCAGGCGGUUCAAUAAGUCUGAUGUGAAAGCCUUCGGCUCAACCGGAGAAUUGCAUCAGAAACUGUUGAACUUGAGUGCAGAAGAGGAGAGUGGAACUCCAUGUGUAGCGGUGGAAUGCGUAGAUAUAUGGAAGAACACCAGUGGCGAAGGCGGCUCUCUGGUCUGCAACUGACGCUGAGGCUCGAAAGCAUGGGUAGCGAACAGGAUUAGAUACCCUGGUAGUCCAUGCCGUAAACGAUGAGUGCUAAGUGU